rnacentral:rRNA from 1 species
AGAGUUUGAUCAUGGCUCAGAUUGAACGCUGGCGGCAGGCCUAACACAUGCAAGUCGAGCGGUAGCACAGAGAGCUUGCUCUCGGGUGACGAGCGGCGGACGGGUGAGUAAUGUCUGGGAAACUGCCUGAUGGAGGGGGAUAACUACUGGAAACGGUAGCUAAUACCGCAUAANGUCGCAAGACCAAAGUGGGGGACCUUCGGGCCUCAUGCCAUCAGAUGUGCCCAGAUGGGAUUAGCUAGUAGGUGGGGUAACGGCUCACCUAGGCGACGAUCCCUAGCUGGUCUGAGAGGAUGACCAGCCACACUGGAACUGAGACACGGUCCAGACUCCUACGGGAGGCAGCAGUGGGGAAUAUUGCACAAUGGGCGCAAGCCUGAUGCAGCCAUGCCGCGUGUGUGAAGAAGGCCUUCGGGUUGUAAAGCACUUUCAGCGGGGAGGAAGGCGGUGAGGUUAAUAACCUCACCGAUUGACGUUACCCGCAGAAGAAGCACCGGCUAACUCCGUGCCAGCAGCCGCGGUAAUACGGAGGGUGCAAGCGUUAAUCGGAAUUACUGGGCGUAAAGCGCACGCAGGCGGUCUGUCAAGUCGGAUGUGAAAUCCCCGGGCUCAACCUGGGAACUGCAUUCGAAACUGGCAGGCUAGAGUCUUGUAGAGGGGGGUAGAAUUCCAGGUGUAGCGGUGAAAUGCGUAGAGAUCUGGAGGAAUACCGGUGGCGAAGGCGGCCCCCUGGACAAAGACUGACGCUCAGGUGCGAAAGCGUGGGGAGCAAACAGGAUUAGAUACCCUGGUAGUCCACGCUGUAAACGAUGUCGAUUUGGAGGUUGUGCCCUUGAGGCGUGGCUUCCGGAGCUAACGCGUUAAAUCGACCGCCUGGGGAGUACGGCCGCAAGGUUAAAACUCAAAUGAAUUGACGGGGGCCCGCACAAGCGGUGGAGCAUGUGGUUUAAUUCGAUGCAACGCGAAGAACCUUACCUGGUCUUGACAUCCACAGAACUUAGCAGAGAUGCUUUGGUGCCUUCGGGAACUGUGAGACAGGUGCUGCAUGGCUGUCGUCAGCUCGUGUUGUGAAAUGUUGGGUUAAGUCCCGCAACGAGCGCAACCCUUAUCCUUUGUUGCCAGCGGUUAGGCCGGGAACUCAAAGGAGACUGCCAGUGAUAAACUGGAGGAAGGUGGGGAUGACGUCAAGUCAUCAUGGCCCUUACGACCAGGGCUACACACGUGCUACAAUGGCAUAUACAAAGAGAAGCGACCUCGCGAGAGCAAGCGGACCUCAUAAAGUAUGUCGUAGUCCGGAUUGGAGUCUGCAACUCGACUCCAUGAAGUCGGAAUCGCUAGUAAUCGUAGAUCAGAAUGCUACGGUGAAUACGUUCCCGGGCCUUGUACACACCGCCCGUCACACCAUGGGAGUGGGUUGCAAAAGAAGUAGGUAGCUUAACCUUCGGGAGGGCGCUUACCACUUUGUGAUUCAUGACUGGGGUGAAGUCGUAACAAGGUAACCGUAGGGGAACCUGCGGUUGGAUCACCU